UAAGUGAAAUAUGCAGUAGACAGAGUGAAAAUAUAAAAUAUUGAAUAUAAGAAGAUCUUAGUGAGCCACAGCUUAUUAUGGUGUUUGACUUUUGUGCUCUGCAAGACAACCAUAAAGGGUUAAAUCAUUAGACCCAAGGAAGGCAGAUUGUAAAUUUUGAUAAUCUAUGUGGAGAUUUGGAUACUCUGACACCUUUCAUAGAAGUUUGAGUGGAAGACAGUGGAACCUGCUAUGGAGGAGUUUCAUUUUCGACGGGAUCCAGUGUAUUCCUGGCCUAUGUAAGAAGAUUUCAUUACUGUACAUUUAUUUUCCACUAUGCCUCUGGCCAUGCUCUUCAAAUAGAGAAAGAAAAUUCAAGUCUAGCUACUUAGAAUGAAUACAUUUCUAUAAUGUAGAAACCCCAAGAAGGCUGCUUGGUUUGAAUUUCAAAUCCUUUCUGUGUCAUUUUGUUGUAUGACUUUUCUUGACAAUAGUGUAUCUGAACACUCCUGCAUAUAAGAUCUUAAAUGAUAAUACAUAUUUCCUAUAAUAAUUCAAUCACUCCAUCAAUGGAAGAAAAGCGAGAGGAUAAGAAAAAAAGGAAAAAACAAACCUACAUUUAACACCCAGAUGUGAUGGGUAUUGAAACAUUCACAACGGUGUCUUCCUAUUCAGUGACUAAUUCAUGCCCACAGAAAUGUUACAGUAAUUCUAAAGGAUUCUGAAAAUAGCACCUAUGUUAUCAACCUCAAUAAAUAAGCUGCCAGGAGUUGAACACACAUUUGCCUUUGGAUGAAAGCAAGGUUAUUUUUGCCACUGGUGAGAAUAGACAAGGAAACCAAGCCUGAAUAGAUAUAUUUAAGUGCAGUAAUACAAUAUCUUGUUCCAAUAAUGAAACCAUUUUCUUUCUGUGACAAGGUUAAUGCUGCUUAUUUUUAAAACUUCCUUACCUGGUUUGCUCUUUUUGUAGCAAGUUUCUGUCUUCCUCACAUUUGGUCUGGGGCAAAUUAACUGUUAGUAGUUGCAUUUCCUUGGAGGCAUCAUGUGUCUAGUGCUUCAUUUCAUUUCAGGAUGGUCUCUUCAGGUCAGAACAUCUAGCCUUCAGCCUCUCAGAUAAAUUGAAGUAGGAAGGUUAAGAGGCAACAGAAAAGGCAAGUAUAGAAUGAAGUGUUAAAAUAAAUUGUGACAGGAUAAUUAAACCAGAGCCACUGGGUCCACAGUCAGAAGAAAAUUUAUUUGUCACAUAAUUGCUGUUUCCAAAGAUGAUGGAUCAAAAGCAGCUAUGAUGAAAGUUACUGUUAACUAUACCUACAGAAAAUUAUAACAGAGAUUGGGAAAACACUUGUUUCAUGUAUAAAUGUUUCUUGGUAGUUUUUUCCUAUAAAAAUCCCUAUGAACACAUUAUUUACUUCAUGUCCAUUUCCUGUACCAUUAAAACCUAGUCUAUAAUUUAAAUUUCUUUCCUUUCAGAUCUGCUUUAUUAUUAUUUCAUUUUAAAACAUUCAUUUUAGCAGGCUAGACAGAUUGUUCUAUGCUUAAGAUCACUGGCUGCUAUGGUACAGGACCCCAGUUUGAAUCCCCAAACCUAUGUAGCAGCAUCCAGGAGAUCGGAUACACUCUUCUGUGCUUGACCAGGACCAGACACACUUGUUGUAAAGUAUGUGUACACAUCCAGCUGAAACAUUCUUAAUAGUAAAAAUAAUAAAAUUACAAUGCUCAUUUUAAAAAUUAAAUGACCAUGUUUCAAAUAACUGUAUAAGAGUACAAAAACAGUAGUGGCCACAGGCUAAUAUGGCUAUUGGAAGUGAAAUGUUGAGUAAUUGGAGUCAAAUUUGCCAUGUCUUAGUAAAACACAUUGGCUGAAGAUGCUUGAAGUAUCUAUGAUGACCAAACUUGUGUCUCUAUCUUCAUGGUAUAACCAGAUACUUGUUACAAAAGGUCACUUGUUGCCACAAUUAUUAGAUAUACUAGGGUCACACCAAGGCAGGAUGCUUUUGAUUUACUGAAUUUUUUAAAUGUUAUAAAAGUUUCUGGAGAAUGCACUUUUAUACAUUUUUGUUCAAAUUUUGAAGGGAAAGAGCUACAGCUGAAAUGUAUUCGGAAUAGAAAAUCAAGGAGAAAAUUAGGAGUCUGAGGGAUUCAAGAUUCCUUGGUAAAAUAGUCAAUUUGUGUGGUUCCAGAUAACAUAAAAAUGUAUUUAAACAAGGAAAUGUAGGAUUUGUUGUGUUUUCCAUAACAAAAAAACAUUAAGAAGAAAAAUUAAAAGUUUUUAAGUGAAAUAAUUAAUCCUGGUUUUGAAAAGCUUUAAAAAGCUAAUGAAAGUCUAAAGUUUAUUGAAGAAAGGGACAUUCAGUUAUACACAUGAUCCCCAUGUUUUUUUCUUUCCCUUUUGUUUCACCGCAGAUUGAGCCAGCUUCUCAUUCUAGAGUCCAGUCUAGCCUAGAAUUCACAUUGUAACAACCCGUGUUCCUCAAACCAAAUGAUUGUAGACAUAAACCACCAAUUAAGGCUAUAUAAGCAUUCUUUUAAAGUAUUAUUUUAUGUUCAGUUAUGCAAGUGGAAGGAUGCACAUGUGAAUUACUGGUGCUUGUUGAGGUCAGAAAAGGGCAUUGGAUCCCUCUGAACUGAAGUUG